rnacentral:rRNA from 1 species
UGUGUAGGUGGCCUGUUAAGUCUGUCGUGAAAGCCCUGGGCUCAACCUGGGAAUGGCGGUGGAUACUGGCGGGCUCGAGUACGGUAGAGGGUGGUGGAAUUCCCGGUGUAGCGGUGAAAUGCGUAGAGAUCGGGAGGAACAUCAGUGGCGAAGGCGGCCACCUGGACCAGUACUGACACUGAGACACGAAAGCGUGGGGAGCAAACAGGAUUAGAUACCCUGGUAGUCCACGCCCUAAACGAUGCGAACUGGACGUUGGCUGCAACUUGGCAGUCAGUGUCGAAGCUAACGCGUUAAGUUCGCCGCCUGGGGAGUACGGUCGCAAGACUGAA